CAUAUAAAUGCGUCUGUGCCCGACUGUUGCUCGUAUCGACUGCGACCUUGAUGGAAGGACAGAGAUGUGUUUUUUUUUUUGCUGCCUAAAUAUAAAACUGGUUUUAUACAUAGAGAAGGAAUAAAAGAUGUUUGUUUCCAUAUGAAUGUCUGUGGAGGUUCUCAGUCAUCCAGCUCAUUAGUUUCCAUAUGAAUAAAAUUCUUACCUGGAUUCAGAUGGAGGCAUUUAACAUCUGGUUGUCUGUGUGUAUAUAAGGCUCAAUCCCAUGACUCACGCUGCGCCCUACGGUCUUCUGUGAAGUGCACUUGGUGGAAGUGCAGUAAGGCUUCGAGUGUGUGGUACACAAGUGUGCAAAUAAUUCCUGAAUUGGGACCAGCAGCAUGGCGUCAUCAACUGCCAGGAUGCUGGUCGCUCUUUUUCACAAAAAAAAAAAACUUUAUUAACAACUUUCAAACAAACAAUUAUUUGAAAUAAUCAAUCAAUCAAAGCUUUAUUUAUAAAGCGCCUUCCGCAACCCUGUCAGGAAGCCCAAGGCGCUGGACAUGGUACAGUACAAAGUCAAAUAAAGUGAAUAAAUCAGAAAAUAAAAGCAAUUCAAAUUACAGAUUACACAUUACAAAAAAGUGAAACAUUCUAGUAGAAUACAAAUGUGUAAAACAAGGGAAAAAUUGAACCAAUGAA